rnacentral:rRNA from 1 species
GAUGAACGCUGGCGGCGUGCCUAAUACAUGCAAGUCGAGCGAACAGACGAGGAGCUUGCUCCUCUGACGUUAGCGGCGGACGGGUGAGUAACACGUGGAUAACCUACCUAUAAGACUGGGAUAACUUCGGGAAACCGGAGCUAAUACCGGAUAAUAUUUUGAACCGCAUGGUUCAAUAGUGAAAGACGGUUUUGCUGUCACUUAUAGAUGGAUCCGCGCUGCAUUAGCUAGUUGGUAAGGUAACGGCUUACCAAGGCAACGAUGCAUAGCCGACCUGAGAGGGUGAUCGGCCACACUGGAACUGAGACACGGUCCAGACUCCUACGGGAGGCAGCAGUAGGGAAUCUUCCGCAAUGGGCGAAAGCCUGACGGAGCAACGCCGCGUGAGUGAUGAAGGUCUUCGGAUCGUAAAACUCUGUUAUUAGGGAAGAACAAAUGUGUAAGUAACUGUGCACAUCUUGACGGUACCUAAUCAGAAAGCCACGGCUAACUACGUG